UCUCAAAACCUCAUCUUGGCAAAAGAACCUUUACUGCCUAUGUAUGUGUGGUGGCCAGCAGUAGCCAACUGCCACUCUGCAACUGCCACUCUGUAACUGCCACUCUGUAACUGCCACUCUGCAACGGCUUCCCACAUGAUGUCUUCAGCAAUAAGCUCAACCUCUCAGCUCAGUCUCCAGGACAAGGGACAGUGACUGACCUUCCCUUGGGCAGGCUGCAAUCAAUGGAAAACGUCAAGAAUCAGGAUGAGAUAACAGAGCACAGCACAGGAAACUCGAGAUCAGGAAGUUUCGGGUUCUCUUUCCACAUCAAGGGCAGGGGAGUGGAGUGCCAGGCUUCUUCAGCUUAAUUUGCUGCAAAGAAUGAACUAGGUAUAAGCGAAAACUAAAAAGAGCUGCAGUGUCCGGGGGCCUUGAGCUCAGAAAAAUAUUAAAGAUCUAGAUUUUAUCAGAUCCAUAAUAAACAAAAAAAAUUUUUUUUUGAAAAAGCA
rnacentral:lncRNA from 1 species